UCUGUAGAAGCAUUUUCAUAUAGGUCAAACCUGUAAGGUUGGUGCCGAUCUCCGAGCAAGGAGCAUGGGAAAAAAAGACCAAAACUAAGUGAGAAACCCCAAAUGACAUUUGGCAUAUGGAUACUAUAUUUGAACCGGAAGCUCGAGUUUUGAAGAAAUCCGAUAACGGGUAAAAAUGAAGGAGAUUUUCCACUCCAUAUCUUACUCAUCUUGUUGCUGUAGAUUUUAGGCAAUGAAUUGAUUUCAAGAGUACUUUGCCUUCAGCAUAACCAGCGGGUGAGAUGUUUAAUGCGUUAGGACAUGAUAUUAAAGCGAAUUAUAUUCUGUAAAAGUAUCAAAGUUAGAUUGCAUUAAAAAAUAGCAAAUUAGGCCUUAUACAUUUUCAUACAAAGUUUAUGGAUCUCUAAACUUAAUUUUUAGACCUCAUUGGCACGAAGGUAACUUGCUUAUGCUGGAAAUAUAUAUUUUUUGAAUCAACAA